AAGUCGUAACAAGGUCUCCGUUGGUGAACCAGCGGAGGGAUCAUUACCGAGUUUCCAACUCACAACCCAAUGUGAACAUACCUACGUUGCUUCGGCGGUCAAGGCCUCCCGGCCGGCGCCGCCGAAGACCCCAAACUCUUGUUUAUACCAUGUGGUUAGCUCUGAGUGAAUCUUGAAAAUAAAUCAAAACCUUCAACAACGGAUCUCUUGGCUCUG
rnacentral:misc_RNA from 1 species